UCCCUGAUAGCUCAGUUGGUAAAGAAUAUGCCUGCAAUGCAAAAGACCCUGGUUCAAUUCCUGGGUGGGGAA
rfam:Ovis aries breed Texel chromosome 16, whole genome shotgun sequence.